rnacentral:rRNA from 1 species
UAGGGAAUCUUCCGCAAUGGACGCAAGUCUGACGGAGCAACGCCGCGUGAGUGAAGAAGGAUUUCGGUUCGUAAAACUCUGUUGUUAGAGAAGAACAGCGCAUAGAGUAACUGUUAUGCGUGUGACGGUAUCUAACCAGAAAGCCACGGCUAACUACGUGCCAGCAGCCGCGGUAAUACGUAGGUGGCAAGCGUUGUCCGGAUUUAUUGGGCGUAAAGCGAGCGCAGGCGGUCAAUUAAGUCUGAUGUGAAAGCCCCCGGCUCAACCGGGGAGGGUCAUUGGAAACUGGUUGACUUGAGUGCAGAAGAGGAGAGUGGAAUUCCAUGUGGAGCGGUGAAAUGCGUAGAUAUAUGGAGGAACACCAGUGGCGAAGGCGACUCUCUGGUCUGUAACUGACGCUGAGGCUCGAAAGCGUGGGUAGCAAACAGG